rnacentral:rRNA from 1 species
GAAGGCUCGUCCGCUCAGGGUUAGUCGGGACCUAAGCCGAGGCCGAUAGGCGUAGGCGAUGGACAACAGGUAGAGAUUCCUGUACCAGUGCUAAUUGUUUAACCGAUGGGGUGACACAGAAGGAUAGGGAAUCGCACGAAUGGAAAUGUGCGUCCAAGCAGUGAGUGUGAGAAGUAGGCAAAUCCGCUUCUCGCGAAGCAUGAGCUGUGAUGGGGAAGGAAAUUAAGUACGGAAGUUCCUGAUUUCACGCUGUCAAGAAAAGCCUCUAGGAAGAGUAGUACUGCCCGUACCGCAAACCGACACAGGUAGAUGAGGAGAGAAUCCUAAGGUGAGCGAGAGAACUCUCGUUAAGGAACUCGGCAAAAUGACCCCGUAACUUCGGGAGAAGGGGUGCUCUAUUAGGGUGCAAGCCCGA